rnacentral:misc_RNA from 1 species
GAUGAAGAACGCAGCGAAAUGCGAAAAGUAGUGUGAAUUGCAGAAUUCAGUGAAUCAUCGAAUCUUUGAACGCACAUUGCGCCCGCCAGCAUUCUGGCGGGCAUGCCUGUUCGAGCGUCAUUUCAACCCUCGAGCCCCCCCGGGGGCCUCGGUGUUGGGGGACGGCACACCAGCCGCCCCCGAAAUGCAGUGGCGACCCCGCCGCAGCCUCCCCUGCGUAGUAGCACACACCUCGCACCGGAGCGCGGAGGCGGUCACGCCGUAAAACGCCCAACUUUCUUAGAGUUGACCUCGGAUCAGGUAGGAAUACCCGCUGAACUUAAGCAUAUCAUAAGCGGAGGA